rnacentral:rRNA from 1 species
GGGCGUCUCUUUCUCAUUACGAGUGGAGGCGCACCUAUAGCGCACACGCUGAUACCCGAAAGAUGGUGAACUAUGCCUGGCCAGGACGAAGCCAGGGGAAACCCUGGUGGAGGUCCGCAGCGAUUCUGACGUGCAAAUCGAUCGUCGGAGCUUGGUAUAGGGGCGAAAGACCAAUCGAACCAUCUAGUAGCUGGUUCCCUCUGAAGUUUCCCUCAGGAUAGCUUGCGCUCGGUUGAGACGAGUCUCAUCCGGUAGAGCGAAUGAUUAGAGGCCUUGGGGUCGAAACGACCUCAACCUAUUCUCAAACUCCAAAUAGAUGAGAUCCCCGGCUUGCUUGAAAGUGAAGCCGGGACUCGGAUCAGAGUGCCAAGUGGGCCAAUUUU